AUUGAACGCUGGCGGAAUGCUUUACACAUGCAAGUCGAGCGGCAGCGCGGGGCAACCUGGCGGCGAGCGGCGAACGGGUGAGUAAUGCAUCGGAACGUACCCAGUCGUGGGGGAUAACUGUCCGAAAGGACAGCUAAUACCGCAUACGUCCUGAGGGAGAAAGCGGGGGAUCGCAAGACCUCGCGCGAUUGGAGCGGCCGAUGCCGGAUUAGCUAGUUGGUAGGGUAAAGGCCUACCAAGGCGACGAUCCGUAGCUGGUCUGAGAGGACGACCAGCCACACUGGAACUGAGACACGGUCCAGACUCCUACGGGAGGCAGCAGUGGGGAAUUUUUGGACAAUGGGGGCAACCCUGAUCCAGCCAUUCCGCGUGAGUGAAGAAGGCCC
rnacentral:rRNA from 1 species